CCAUGAAGCUGGAGAAGCAGCUGAGAAUUCUGCCUUUUGGGUUGCAGCCUCCAUAGGCAGGCAGGCACUGAACUUAUAUGUGCUUUCCCCACGCGUCUGCUAAAUAUGGCUUUCUGGUUACUGGGAGUUGGUGAGCAGGACAGGAAGUGGCAUGUGGGAUCAGACAAAUGCAUUCCAACCAAUGUGGUCCCUUCGGAGAAAAAAAGUAGGAAACACAGCAACAGGCACUCAGUCACUCCUUCUAAAACUUGAGUAAUUAUACCAUAGGAGCCCUUCAAAUACUCUGACACAGGAAGGCUUGUUUAAUGUCUUUCAUAUCUGCCAGUGCAACUCUGGAUGCUCUUUUCUGCCUACAAUCUCUUAUACAGUCAUCUUGCAGGAUUAGACAGUUAAGCAAGAAGCUAUGUCUUUCCAUACAUGGUGUGUGCCCAAUCACUGUGAGCACGGAGGCAAGUGCACCCAGACGUGGGACAGCUUCUCUUGCAACUGUGAUGCGACCCUAUACAGUGGAGCCACGUGCCAUAACUAACUCAAGGCAGCAUGCCACUGAAGAGAUCAAUGUCAUCAAAAGACACUGCCUGGCAGAUUGAAGUGACUGUGUCAGACAGCAGACUUGGGGA